AUUGAACGCUGGCGGCAUGCUUUACACAUGCAAGUCGAACGGUAACAGGCCGCAAGGUUCUGACGAGUGGCGGACGGUUGAGUAAUGCAUCGGAACGUGCCCAGUCGUGGGGUAUAACUACUCGAAAGAGUAGCUAAUACCGCAUACGAUCUAUGGAUGAAAGCGGGGGACCGUAAGGCCUCGCGCGAUUUGAGCGGCCGAUGUCGGAUUAGGUAGUUGGUGGGGUAAAGGCUCACCAAGCCAACGAUCUGUAGCUGGUCUGAGAGGACAACCAGCCACACUGGGACUGAGACACGGCCCAGACUCCUACGGGAGGCAGCAGUGGGGAAUUUUGGACAAUGGGCGCAAGCCUGAUCCAGCAAUGCCGCGUGCAGGAAGAAGGCCUUCGGGUUGUAAACUGCUUUUGUACGGAAAGAAACGGCUCUGGUUAAUACCCGGGGCUAAUGACGGUACCGAAAGAAUAAGCACCGGCUAACUACGUG
rnacentral:rRNA from 1 species